UCCCUUUGCUUUCGCCUCUCGAUCCGCAGAAAAGGGUUCCUUAUCGAGUGGGAAUCUUGAUGAUGCUGCAUCAGCAAAUACAUGGCUACUCUUGUCACUUCUUUUUUGUCAUCCUCUAGUGAAGAGAGUAAUGAUGUCUUGGAGAUCUUACACAAAAACACAAGGUAAAGUCUCUUUUCUUGUUUUCUGUCUCUUGGCAAUAUUUUGAUCAUGCACAUGCUGUGAAAUAUCUGUAAGUUUAUGGUGUUUCUAUUUUGCUUUUGUUAUUGGCAAAAACAUUCACAUGUGGAAGGAUCCCACAUAUGCUCUAAAACCCCAAACAAGAUUGUAACAACUGUAUUUAAAAUAAAUAGACUAUGAUAAGUUUUUAA
rnacentral:precursor_RNA from 1 species